rnacentral:rRNA from 1 species
UACGUAGGUGGCAAGCGUUAUCCGGAAUUAUUGGGCGUAAAGCGCGCGUAGGCGGUUUUUUAAGUCUGAUGUGAAAGCCCACGGCUCAACCGUGGAGGGUCAUUGGAAACUGGAAAACUUGAGUGCAGAAGAGGAAAGUGGAAUUCCAUGUGUAGCGGUGAAAUGCGCAGAGAUAUGGAGGAACACCAGUGGCGAAGGCGACUUUCUGGUCUGUAACUGACGCUGAUGUGCGAAAGCGUGGGGA